GACGAACGCUGGCGGCGUGCUUAACACAUGCAAGUCGAACGGAAGGGCCCUGCUUUUGUGGGGUGCUCGAGUGGCGAACGGGUGAGUAACACGUGAGUAACCUGCCCUUGACUUUGGGAUAACUUCAGGAAACUGGGGCUAAUACCGGAUAGGAGCUCCUGCUGCAUGGUGGGGGUUGGAAAGUUUCGGCGGUUGGGGAUGGACUCGCGGCUUAUCAGCUUGUUGGUGGGGUAGUGGCUUACCAAGGCUUUGACGGGUAGCCGGCCUGAGAGGGUGACCGGCCACAUUGGGACUGAGAUACGGCCCAGACGCCUACGGGAGGCAGCAGUGGGGAAUAUGGCACAAUGGGCGGAAGCCUGAUGCAGCAACGCCGCGUGCGGGAUGACGGCCUUCGGGUUGUAAACCGCUUUCGCCUGUGACGAAGCGUGAGUGACGGUAAUGGGUAAAGAAGCACCGGCUAACUACGU
rnacentral:rRNA from 1 species